AAGGGACAAAGCAGUCCCUUGGGCAUAGACCCACCACACACAGCCUCUUAUAUCUGGGAAGUGCUCCUGCCUGAGAGGACACUCAGCUUACAAGGAGAAAGGACAACAGAGGCUAUUGUUGUGUAGGAUAAACUCUUCUCCUCAGAGGCAAGACGUGAGAAGAGAGAUGGGGGUUUCCUCUGUGCUUCUCUGCCAGGGCUGUGCCCCAUGGCAGGGGAUUCUGCUCACAGCCUCCUUCUUAACCUGCUGGCACCUGUCCACCACUUCCCAAGUCACCAUUGAACUAGUGCCACCUCAAGUGGUUGAAGGAGAAGAUGUCCUAUUCCUUGUUCACAAACUGCCAGAAAACCUUAUUGGCUUCUGCUGGUACAAAGGGUCACCAAUUAUAAAACAUGGCAUUGCACUGUAUGAAGCAAACACUAAAGUAGGUGUGGCAGGGCCCAUGUACAGUGCUAGAGAGACAUUGUACAGAAACGGGUCCAUGUUGAUCCACAAUGUCACCCAAAAGGACACAGGAUUCUACAGACUACGAAUCUUUAAUA
rnacentral:lncRNA from 1 species